AUGUAUAACUGCUACCGUAACAGUGCCCCCACCCUCACCGUCCUGCCCCCUUCUAGCGAGGAGCUGUUCAGUAAAACAACAGCCACACUGACGUGUCUGGCCAACAAGGGCAUCCCCUCAGACUGGACCAUGAGCUGGAAAGUGGACGGGACCAGCCAGAAGCAGGAGGCCAAUCCCGGGGUCCUGGAGAAGGCCAGCCUGUACAGCUGGAGCAGCACCCUGACUCUCACUGCCCAGGAGUGGACCAAGGCAGGAGGUGUGACCUGUGAAGCCCAGCAGAAAUCCCAGACUCCAGUCACCAAGACCCUGAGGAGGGCUGACAGUUCUGGGUAGGACCCCUCAGUCACACACCCCUGUGGAGAGUUCCUCUGCUUUGACACCCCUGCUGAUUCCUCUGCUUUGACUCUGUUCUGAGUUCAGAUGUUCUCUGUCUUAUUGAUCACUGAUAUGUAGACUAACAGUGGGCUUUUCUUGAGUUCAUGUGUCAUUCCUCUCUGUAGACUGAGGUUGUAUCUAUCAGGUAUGAAGAGAAGACCCAGAUGCAGACCACGUUGAAUAAACAAUAGUUCAAUGUUCCAACAGGGGCAGGCAGUAGACAGGUCAAUGCAGGCAGGGGUCAGAAAACCAGAGGUCGGCAACGGUACCGGAUAGCAGGCAGACUCAGGGUCUGGGUAAGGCAGAGGCAGGCGGGCUCAGAGUCAGGACAGGCAAGGGUCAAAACCAGGAGGGCAAGAAAAGAGAGACUAGAAACAGCAUGAGCUGAGACACAAACCGCUGGUUGACUCGAACAAACAAGAUGAACUGGCAACAGACCAACAGAGAACACAGGUAUAAAUACACAGGGGAUAAUGGGGAAGAAGGGCGACACCUGGAGGGGGGUGGAGACAAUCACAAAGACAGGUGAAACAGAUCAGGAUGUGACAGUAUCAGUGUGAGAUGUGAUGUGUUCUGUUUUAUUACUAUUGGAUACUACAGGAAUGUUUGCUUUGAUGCUUUGAUUAAUGGAUGAAAAUAAAGGUUUCCUUUUGGAACAAAUAUUUUUCUUGUCUCUUUCAAAAACUAGACUUUUGAUCAAUAUCUUGGACUCAUCAAUGUGACCACUCCUGUAUUUAUCUAAAAAGUUGUCAAAAUAAUAUUACAAGUAUCAUAUCUUCAAGAUAGAGUCUUCUCUCACUCCAACCCCCUGGUGACAGUGCUGCUCUAUUCUGGGACAAGCAGAACCACCCAGCCCUGUCUAUGUAAAUCUCAGUUUCACUCCCACAGCUACCAGUCUAGCAGUUGACCACUAUCUGAAAUACCCUGGACUGGGCCAGAUGAGUGAGUGGACUGGUUUGAACCUUUAUGGUGGAU